rnacentral:tRNA from 1 species
GGUCUCAUGGUGUAAUGGUUAGCACUCGGGACUCUGAAUCCCGCGAUCCGAGUUCAAAUCUCGGUGAGACCU